GGGCAUGGCUACGGAGCAGCUCCGGCAAGCACAGCUGGGGUGUGCGGGUUCGAUUCCCGCCGUGCCCUCCA
rnacentral:tRNA from 1 species